AUUAAAGCUUAUUAAACAAAUUGCUUAAUCUGUUUGUGCGGUAGUCAUGUCGAAAAAGAUUUCUGACUUUUUAAAAAGACUAUGUCAGUAAUCAUUACUUAUUUAAACACACUGUACUUUCAAUUAUAGAUAUUGAUUACAUCAAAACCUACACUGCAUGACUAAAGUAAACUGGACACUCUUUAUAUCUGUCAGUGAUAAAAAUGUUCACAUCAAUAAGUUGUUUAAGCCCCAGUUCCACUAGACCGCGAUCGCAACACGCUCACUACGAUCUUAAAUUAAUUCAGAUCGUGGUGAGGUCGCGGUAUGAUUUUAAUUUUCAUUGUUUUCAAGAAGCUAAUACGUUCUCAUUUCGCUUCUACAACGAUCCUGCUAAGAUUAUACCACGUUCUCACCACGCUUUUCCUGCGACCUCACUACGAUUAUCAUGAUCUAUCUACGCUCAUCACGUUCUAACCACGACCCUUCCAUGAUUUAUCCGAUUGCAACACGAUCUUACAACGCUUCUACUGCGAUUAUAGCACGCUCUUGCCACGGUUAUGCAACGUUCAUAUCACGAUUAUACUACGCUCUUAAAAAUAACGUCGUGUUCCAUAUAUGAAUACUGUUCCAUUCCUUCUAUUUCUUAUUAAUACGUAUAUAUAAAAUUAUACAGAUUUCUCGGAAACAAAACA
rnacentral:lncRNA from 1 species